rnacentral:rRNA from 1 species
AGUGAACGCUGGCGGCAGGCCUACACAUGCACGUCGAGCGGCAGCGCGGGGGCAACCCUGGCGGCGAGCGGCGGACGGGUGAGGAAUUCGUCGGAAUCUGCCUUUUUGUGGGGGAUAACGUAGGGAAACUUACGCUAAUACCGCAUACGUCCUACGGGAGAAAGUGGGGGACCGCAAGGCCUCACGCAGAAAGAUGAGCCGACGACCGAUUAGCUAGUUGGUGGGGUAAAGGCCCACCAAGGCGACGAUCGGUAGCUGGUCUGAGAGGAUGAUCAGCCACACUGGGACUGAGACACGGCCCAGACUCCUACGGGAGGCAGCAGUGGGGAAUAUUGGACAAUGGGCGCAAGCCUGAUCCAGCCAUGCCGCGUGUGUGAAGAAGGCCUUCGGGUUGUAAAGCACUUUUGUCCGGAAAGAAAUCCCUGGAGCUAAUACCUUCGGGGGAUGACGGUACCGGAAGAAUAAGCACCGGCUAACUUCGUG